UAGGGAAUCUUCCACAAUGGGCGAAAGCCUGAUGGAGCAACGCCGCGUGUGUGAUGAAGGGUUUCGGCUCGUAAACACUGUUGUAAGAGAAGAAUGACAUUGAGAGUAACUGAUCAAUGUGUGACGGUAUCUUACCAGAAAGGAACGGCUAAAUACGUGCCAG
rnacentral:rRNA from 1 species